UUUUUAAAUCUUUUUAAAAAUGUAUUUAUCUAAACAAAUUAUUUAAAUUUUAUUUCUCCAAAUGCUAAAAAAAAAGAACGAUGAGUGUUAUCGUUGGACCGCCAUUAUUGUAAAAAAAAAAAAAAAACAUUGGUCCUCAAUCAAUUUAGUUCAAUUAUGAUAAAAUUAUAUUUUAUUUAUUUUUGUUUUGCAUUCUAUAACACAAACAAAAUUUUAUUUCAAAUCAAGUCUUCGAACAAUUCUUAAUCUAAAUUCAAAUAAAUCAAAUGCUGUGUGCCGUCCUGCUGUAUGCACAAUGAAACCCAGCCAGUCCAGUUGGCCAGGCCGGUCUGUGCAGCUCCGUAACUCAGUUAACUCAGUCCAAUAAUAACUCAAGCGCCUAACAGAUGCAAUUGCCAUUGUGAUACAGCCGCAGCCAGAUGUGCGAAUGAAAUGAAUGCAGCAGCAGCAGCAGCCGUAGCAACAACAACAACAACAAGGAGCAGCAGUCGCGGCAGGAAGCUGUGUGGGCAGCGUUGUGUGCCAUGUUAUAUGGAAUGUAUGGAUAUGCUAAUUGCAAGUAGUGCAGCAACUUCUGUCACUGACAAAUACUAAUGAAACACCACACACACAUACAUGCACACAUAUUCACACGCACAGACACGCAUAUGCUGCAUCCAAAUACAUUCAGCAUCUGUGGCCUGUUGCUUGCGCCUGCAUCAACACUCAUCUGUAUGCAACAGCAGUAACUGCAACCAACAACAUCCACCAACAACAAUAGCAACAACAUCCAACAACAGCAACAACAACAAUCYGAAGAAGAAGCAAAACAAUGUAUUGAAUUUUGUGGCCAUUUCUGCUUGCGUUUUGCCAGCCAGUAAAACAAAACAAAAAACAAACAAACAUUACAAUAACAA